CCUACGGGAGGCAGCAGUGGGGAAUAUUGGACAAUGGGCGAAAGCCUGAUCCAGCCAUGCCGCGUGUGUGAAGAAGGUCUUCGGAUUGUAAAGCACUUUAAGUUGGGAGGAAGGGCAUUAACCUAAUACGUUAGUGUUUUGACGUUACCGACAGAAUAAGCACCGGCUAACUCUGUGCCAGCAGCCGCGGUAAUACAGAGGGUGCAAGCGUUAAUCGGAAUUACUGGGCGUAAAGCGCGCGUAGGUGGUUUGUUAAGUUGGAUGUGAAAUCCCCGGGCUCAACCUGGGAACUGCAUUCAAAACUGACUGACUAGAGUAUGGUAGAGGGUGGUGGAAUUUCCUGUGUAGCGGUGAAAUGCGUAGAUAUAGGAAGGAACACCAGUGGCGAAGGCGACCACCUGGACUAAUACUGACACUGAGGUGCGAAAGCGUGGGGAGCAAACAGGAUUAGAUACCCUGGUAGUCCACGCCGUAAACGAUGUCAACUAGCCGUUGGGAGCCUUGAGCUCUUAGUGGCGCAGCUACGCAUUAAGUUAGACCGCCGUCGGGAGGUACGGCCGCGAACGGUUAAAACGUAACGAAAGGAAGUUAGACGGCGUGAGACGUGCCGAACGGACGACGACGAGGGAGGAGG
rnacentral:rRNA from 1 species